rnacentral:misc_RNA from 1 species
GACAAACCAAGAAUUUUCCAAACCAAAUCAUGGGGGAUGUGUGAUAUCCACAUUCUCUGUUAUUUAUCAACCUUAAUUAAUUAAUAAAGUAUCCAAGCUUUCUCUAUGUCUUCCUAUAAUUUGCCUGUUCAAGAGCUCUUAGUCAAUCCGCAUACAGGGACUGAUCAACUCAAGUGAAGUUAUGUAUGUAUAGUACAUAUUGUCUUUCAU